AGUGGCGAACGGGUGAGUAACACGUGGGCAAUCUGCCCUGCACUCUGGGACAAGCCCUGGAAACGGGGUCUAAUACCGGAUACGACCUUCCUCCGCAUGGGGGUUGGUGGAAAGCUCCGGCGGUGCAGGAUGAGCCCGCGGCCUAUCAGCUUGUUGGUGGGGUAAUGGCCUACCAAGGCGACGACGGGUAGCCGGCCUGAGAGGGCGACCGGCCACACUGGGACUGAGACACGGCCCAGACUCCUACGGGAGGCAGCAGUGGGGAAUAUUGCACAAUGGGCGAAAGCCUGAUGCAGCGACGCCGCGUGAGGGAUGACGGCCUUCGGGUUGUAAACCUCUUUCAGCAGGGAAGAAGCGCAAGUGACGGUACCUGCAGAAGAAGCACCGGCUAACUACGUGCCAGCAGCCGCGGUAAUACGUAGGGUGCGAGCGUUGUCCGGAAUUAUUGGGCGUAAAGAGCUCGUAGGCGGCCUGUCGCGUCGGAUGUGAAAGCCCGGGGCUUAACCCCGGGUCUGCAUUCGAUACGGGCAGGCUAGAGUGUGGUAGGGGAGAUCGGAAUUCCUGGUGUAGCGGUGAAAUGCGCAGAUAUCAGGAGGAACACCGGUGGCGAAGGCGGAUCUCUGGGCCAUUACUGACGCUGAGGAGCGAAAGCGUGGGGAGCGAACAGGAUUAGAUACCCUGGUAGUCCACGCCGUAAACGUUGGGAACUAGGUGUUG
rnacentral:rRNA from 1 species